GCCGCUGCUUCAAUAAAUUUGCCAAAUGAAGACCGAGGAGCAAAGCACACUAAUCCUGAUUCAAUUCAUGAGCGGAAACUUUGGAUAGCUUGGAAACAAUACUUAGCCCCG
rnacentral:lncRNA from 1 species